GCAUUAAUGGGGUAGUGGUAACCUGGGUCGUUGCCAUAUAAAAGAAUGCGUGCUCUUCGACCCGCCGGGGGUUCGAUUCCCCCUUAAUGCA